CAUAUCUUGAUGCAGGUGUUGUUGUCCGCGCCGGUCACGGCAAACUUCCAGAACUGAACACUGUGAUGAGGGGAACCGUUUACUGUAGCCUCGAGGGAUUAUUCUAGAUUCGCUGAGCCAGUAGGUGAGCUCACGGGGCUCAAACCUGACAACGUUACUAACACGAACCCUAGCUAGAGCCGUGUUUCGCAGAAUCUACCACCGGAUUGGAAAUGCGACCCACUGAGAAGAUCCGACGAGAAACUCAGUGGGCUGUAUCUGAGAGUUAAUUUACUCGGCGAGCCUUUCGUCGCAAGCGACGGUUUCGACGAGAACGAUGACCGGGGCUUGAGGUACCUAAAAGCAUUGUUAGUGGAUCGGGAGGAUCCGAAAUGACGUGUAUUGAGCGACGUCGACUGUUUUCCAUUCGGUCCGCAGCAUCGGGAAUGAAACCUGAGGAUCUUGAUGGAUCUAGAGCUUAGUGGGGUCGCGUCGCUCGACACCAGGACAAACUACUGGCAAAUGAUCAUUCAGUUGUAGUUGUCUAUAACUUCUAAUAAUUGAAUUUUUUGUGAAGAUGUAUAGUAGAGGGCAGUUCGAAUGGUAAUGCCAAUUAAAUACCAAAUUAAAAAGUCGUUCGUACUCAGAGUUGUAGUUGUUGUGGUUGUCGAGGAAGAAGAGACAGCUGAGGGGCUUCCCGUCGUGCGGCUGCCACUUGUGCAGGCAGCGGGGGCUCCGGUUCUGCAUGCACACCUG